CACGUGACGUGCACGCCCCACUGGCUGACAGUGAACACAUAUAAGUAGUGCGAUUACGACACUGUAUUAUUCAAACGGAUUCUUUGUCACUCUAACGAUUCUUCUUCCAUUAGUAUUUUCAAAUAUCACAGAAACUACCAAGAUGUCAUCGAAAACGAUUUAUCCAGAGCCUCUAUACACGUCACUUCCGCCCUUGCCGUACAUAUCAUCACCCGGGAGCCUAGGGUUGUAUUCACCCCUUACACCACUAAACAGAAUAGCCGCCAUGUCAACUUAUUUCUCGUUCAACCAGUACGGUCUAAACAGUUUGGGUUAUGCAUCUAUGUGCGAUUAUCCAGACAGUAGUAGUUGUUCAUCGUCACCGUCCUCUUGGUCGCCGCCGUCACAUCGUUCAGCGUUUACUUCUAUGAAGCCAUGGAGUCCCAGCUACGACCUAGGAAGAGACAGAGUCGACAGUGAACCCGACUCACCUGAAGAGAAACCCAAGCCAAAGAAAAAAUUUGAUUUCUCACGAUUGGCUGAAUCCGCUACACGUGACGAUGAAGAAACGCCCAUUCCUGGAAAGGAAUCUGUCAGUCAAGAUGCCCAGGUGUAUAGCCACACCCUCACCUUGUAUCAGAACAAUAUCAGGUACAGCAGCAUUUUCAGUGGAAUGAGGCUACCCAUCACCCAAAGUUCACCGGUAGAGGGCGACAAGUUCAAAAUAAAAAGACCAAGAAGAGCCAAGAAAGAGUUUAUUUGUAAAUAUUGUCAACGUCAAUUCACCAAAUCGUACAAUUUAUUGAUACAUGAAAGAACUCACACUGAUGAACGACCCUACCCUUGUGAGAUAUGCGGCAAGGCUUUCAGAAGACAGGAC